rnacentral:rRNA from 1 species
UACGUAGGGCGCAAGCGUUGUCCGGAAUUAUUGGGCGUAAAGAGCUCGUAGGUGGCUUGUUGCGUCUGCCGUGAAAGCCCGUGGCUUAACUGCGGGUCUGCGGUGGAUACGGGCAGGCUAGAGGCUGGUAGGGGCAAGCGGAAUUCCUGGUGUAGCGGUGAAAUGCGCAGAUAUCAGGAGGAACACCGGUGGCGAAGGCGGCUUGCUGGGACGGUACUGACGCUAAGGCGCGAAAGCGUGGGGAGCGAACAGG